ACGUGGGAACAUACCUCAUAGUACGGAAUAACUGCGGGAAACUGUAGCUAAUACCGUAUAUUCCAGAAAUGGGAAAGAUUUAUCGCUAUGAGAUUGGCCCGCGCAAGAUUAGCUUGUUGGUAAGGUAACGGCUUACCAAGGCUCCGAUCUUUAGCUGGUUUGAGAGGAUGAUCAGCCACACUGGGACUGAGACACGGCCCAGACUCCUACGGGAGGCAGCAGUAGGGAAUAUUGGACAAUGGGGGAAACCCUGAUCCAGCAAUGCAGCGUGAGUGACGAAGGCCUUAGGGUUGUAAAACU
rnacentral:rRNA from 1 species